GACGAACGCUGGCGGCGUGCUUAACACAUGCAAGUCGAACGGAAAGGCCCUGCUUUUGUGGGGUGCUCGAGUGGCGAACGGGUGAGUAACACGUGAGUAACCUGCCCUUGACUUUGGGAUAACUUCAGGAAACUGGGGCUAAUACCGGAUAGGAGCUCCUGCUGCAUGGUGGGGGUUGGAAAGUUUCGGCGGUUGGGGAUGGACUCACGGCUUAUCAGCUUGUUGGUGGGGUAGUGGCUUACCAAGGCUUUGACGGGUAGCCGGCCUGAGAGGGUGACCGGCCAAAUUGGGACUGAGAUACGGCCAAGACUCCUACGGGAGGCAGAAGUGGGGAAUAUUGCAAAAUGGGCGGAAGCCUGAUGCAGCAACGCCGCGUGCGGGAUGACGGCCUUCGGGUUGAAAACCGCUUUCGCCUGUGACGAAGCGUGAGUGACGGUAAUGGGUAAAGAAGCACCGGCUAACUACGUG
rnacentral:rRNA from 1 species